rnacentral:rRNA from 1 species
AACGAACGCUGGCGGCAUGCCUAACACAUGCAAGUCGAACGAGACCUUCGGGUCUAGUGGCGCACGGGUGCGUAACGCGAGGGAACCUGCCCUUAGGUUCGGAAUAACUCCCAGAAAGGGGUGCUAAUACCGGAUAAUGUCUUCGGCCCAAAGAUUUAUCGCCUUUGGAUGGGCCCGCGUUGGAUUAGCUAGUUGGUAGGGUAAAAGCCUACCAAGGCGACGAUCCAUAGCUGGUCUGAGAGGAUGAUCAGCCACACUGGGACUGAGACACGGCCCAGACUCCUACGGGAGGCAGCAGUGGGGAAUAUUGGACAAUGGGCGAAAGCCUGAUCCAGCAAUGCCGCGUAAGUGAUGAAGGCCUUAGGGUUGUAAAGCUCUUUUACCCGGGAUGAUAAUGACAGUACCGGGAGAAUAAGCUCCGGCUAACUCCGUG